UAGAAAGAAUUAAUUAUCUAAGCUACUUCUUAUUCCAUCUCAACAAGGAAAUUACUAUUAACAAUCAUAGUAGUAAAUAUGGAUAUGAAAUCAUAUAAUAAUAACUAGAGGAAACAUCUCUAAUAAAAUUAACAAAGACACUAAAGUACUGGCGAAGGAAAUAGUGGACACCAUAAAAUUUGUUGGAUAUAUGAAUAUCUAGGUGAUAUAGAAGUUGACUUAUAGAAAUAGUACUGUAAAGGAAAGCACAAAUAUUUAUAAUCUACCUCUUUCUAAUUUCUGUUGUUAAACAACGUACCUUUUGUAUAAUGGGCUUGCUAGAACUAAUUUGGUUAGCUAAUCAAAGCCGUGUUCACGACAAAAUCAAAUAUUCCCGAAACUAGGUGAUCAAUUCUGAAGUAGCCGAUAGGGCCAACCAUUUACUGUUUCAAAAGUUUUGGAAAACUUCAGAAUAGAGGUGAAAUACUAAUCGAACCUAGAAAUAGCUGGUUUUCUACAAAAUCCUUAUUAGAGGAACAGUGUCAUAUUAAUUUUCUGUAAAAUUUAAAUAAACAUUAAUAUCAACACUUUAAUAGACCAAAAAUGAUAAGAUUUUUGGUCAAAAGAGAAACAACUCGAAUUACAAGCCAAGGACAUAAAUCGAUUAAAUGUAUACACAAUAGAAAGUAAAAAUAGAGGACAAGUAGGCUUGGAGGCAGCCAUCUUAUUGACAACGCGUAAUAGCGGCUCCUAAAAACAUAUCUAUUAUAAAUUAUGGUGGCUAAACAAUUCCAAAGCUCUAAAAACAAGUAGUAGAACAGACUAUUAAAUAAUAAUAGUGGAGAUAAUGCAAGCAUGAAUACCCGUCCAUUCUCUAGGUUUUAAGUAAAACAACCCUUAAAAAACUAAAGGUUUGCUAACUCGGAACAAAUACCCCUAGAAACAAGUUAGUAAUAAUAAUUGUACCAUCUAACCAAAGAAAGCAAAAUUAUUAGAUCAAUUCUCUCAAAGGAACUCGGCAAAGCUGGACUUAAACCAUCUUUUAGGAUCGACUGUUUACCAAAAACAUAGCCCUACAGUACUCUUGUAAGGUGAAGCCUGCCCAAUGACUGUUAAUAAUCCAAUUAAAACCAGUUCAAUGGCCGCGGUAACUCUGACCGUGAUAAAGUAGCAUAAUCACUUGUCACUUAAUUAGUGACUGGAAUGAAUGGCUAAACGAAUCCUCCUCUGUCUCUGAAAGAACUCCGGCGAAUUUGAAAUAACAGUGAAGAUGCUGUUAAAUAAUUGUAAGACGAAAAGACCCUAUCGAGCUUUACUGAAAGCUUGUAAACAAAUAUGAUUAUCACCAACGAACUCUUAAAAAUUGCAAGCCUGACAGUUUGGUUGGGGCGACCACCCCUAAAAAAGUAUCAGGGGAACUCUAAAGGUUACCAUAAUAUGGAAAAUUGCCUUACUGGAGACAAACAAGUCAAUCAGUUAUAAUUUAUAGGACAUAUUGACCCGUUAUUUUGUUCAUAAUAAAUAACGACUAUGAAAAAAGUUACCGUAGGGAUAACAGGGUAAUAUUUUCAGAGAGUUCAUAUCGAUGAAAAUGUUUGCCACCUCGAUGUUGAAUUAUGAUAUCCUAAGGGUGCAGCAGCUCUUAAGGGUUGGUCUGUUCGACCAUUAAAAUCAUACAUGAUUUGAGUUCAUUCCGUCGUAAGACAGGAAGGUUUCUAUCUACAAUUAAAGAACCAAAUGCAAACUCUAGUACGAAAGGAAUGAGUAAUGCCAUUCUAACAAUGAAGUAAUAAAUCUGACUUAUUAUAAAUUUUUAAACCAUAGUUCAGCAAUUAUAU
rnacentral:rRNA from 1 species